rnacentral:rRNA from 1 species
AUACGUAGGGUGCGAGCGUUGUCCGGAAUUACUGGGCGUAAAGAGCUCGUAGGUGGUUUGUCGCGUCGUCUGUGAAAUUCCGGGGCUUAACUCCGGGCGUGCAGGCGAUACGGGCAUAACUUGAGUACUGUAGGGGAGACUGGAAUUCCUGGUGUAGCGGUGAAAUGCGCAGAUAUCAGGAGGAACACCGGUGGCGAAGGCGGGUCUCUGGGCAGAAACUGACGCUGAGGAGCGAAAGCAGGGGUAGCGAACAGGAUUAGAUACCCUGGUAGUCCGGGCCGUAAACGGUGGGCGCUAGGUGUAGGGGUCUUCCACGACUUCUGUGCCGUAGCUAACGCAUUAAGCGCCCCGCCUGGGGAGUACGGCCGCAAGGCUAAAACUCAAAUGAAUUGACGGGG